AAAUUUGACUGCAAAAUAAAUAUUUUAUUUUUCAUAUUAAUUUGGCUGGACAAAUUUUCAUUUAUAACAGGAUCGCGCGGGCUCCUUUGGGAUCGUGAGGGCUCCUUUGGGAUCGCGCGGGCUCCCUCGGGCUCGGCGCCGAUCGGGAGCGGCGUCCGCCGGCGCCCUCUGCUGGCGGCCAGCCCGCGAGCCGCCGCUCGGCGGCCGGGCCGUCCCUGCCAGCCCCCGGCCCGCGCCGCCCGGACGGGUGGAGAGGCCUGGCCGCUUCUCAUUGAAGAAUUUCCAUCGUCGUCAUGGUGCAAGCCUGAGGUUAUGCAGUGACAGUCAUAUUAGCUUGUGACAGCCAGCAGAUAUCCACGUGUAUUUUGGGGCAUGUUGAACUGCUUAAACCUGACCUGCAUGUGACUGCAAAAAUGCACCUGAGAGCUACUGAUUUAUGGAAGUGACUGAAGAACUACUUCCCUUCUAAUACAACAGGCAACCACAGCUCUGGAGAUACAUGCUCUGAGGAAACAUCCCCAAAUAGUGUGAAAAGAGGUGGAUAGUACAACAGCUGCAACUUCAAUUACCUGUGAGGACAUAAUUCUAGAUGCACGCUGUCUUCA